AUACGGAGGGGGCUAGCGUUGUUCGGAUUUACUGGGCGUAAAGGGCGCGUAGGCGGCCCAUAAAGUCAGGCGUGAAAGCCCCGGGCUCAACCUGGGAACUGCGCUUGAAACGUGUGGGCUAGAGUCCGGGAGAGGAUGGUGGAAUUCCCAGUGUAGAGGUGAAAUUCGUAGAUAUUGGGAAGAACACCGGUGGCGAAGGCGGCCAUCUGGACCGGUACUGACGCUAAGGCGCGAAAGCGUGGGGAGCAAACAGGAUUAGAAACCCCUGUAGUCC
rnacentral:rRNA from 1 species